ACUUAAAUAGCUUAUAUUAGAGCUUAACUUUGAAGGUGUUACGGAAGUUUAAAACUUUUAAGUA
rnacentral:tRNA from 1 species